CAUUGCCAGAUCCCCAGUCUGCUGCAAAUGUGCCACGUCAAGACUGGAAAUCACAGCACUUCAGUGUGUUUCAGUUUUGCACACUAGGGAAUAAGAAACGCUAAGGGACACUGUGAAAAAGGAGGACUGCAGAAUAAAGCGGGGAAGACAUUCUGGUAAGGCCUACUUUGGAAGAACACCUGGCCUAUGACCUGGCGAACCUAGGUGACUCCCCUCCCCCCUUCCUCCAGUCAUCACUGCAAGAAAGAUGGAGCUCUGAUGGUGCACUAAAAGCCAUGCAAGAAAUGAGAGAGGUAUAUUGCCUAGAGGUACACUGCCUAGAGAAGUGUACAACAGUAAAGCUAAACUCGGUCAUUGCUUUUUUAUUCUUUUCUUUUUUUUUUAAAUUAAUUUAAAAUAAAGCUUUUUUUCCCCCACAAACUAAAAAGGUAAAUUUAAUUUAUUUUUUUUUUACUUGUAGCUGUCAGUAUAAAUAUUUAAGAAGUAUAUUUUUUUUCUUAGGUUUGCUAGAAGUUUGUAUUCUGAAUAGCUCCUGUUGUGAUCUAUGACGUGAAGAUCAAUUUUAAAAAAUUAUUUUUGCUUAAAGUAAUAAAAUACUAGAAAAGAAUGCAUGAAUAAUAUUUUAAAUUAUUGUAAAAUAUAUUAUAUCACCUCUGGAAAAACUGUACUUAGUUUUUAAUAUGUAGUUGAAACUUCUUUGCAAGUAACUUAUGCUAGACGUGCUAAUGAAAACCGGGAGGGAAACCAGAGAAAAACUGACUACUCCAUGCUAGGCUGCUGCCAUAUAGAAUACAAAACCUUUGAUUGUCAGGAAAAAUUACCUUUUAAAGUUCAGGAAGUGAUAGGGAAAAAAAAAAUAAUCAAUCAAUAAAUAAAAGGGAAGAAAGAGCUUUCCAACCCGAUACCUGGCUGGACAUUGCAUGGGAGUGAUCAGAACCGAUUGAUUGCUGCCGCUCUCAUGAGUACUUUGAAUCGCUGAUAAUUCUUCUUCCAUUCAAAAUGAUAAGUUGCUUUGUCCUGAAUCCCACUGAUAAAAAUGGAAUUUGUAAACCAAUGCAGAAGUUUGCUUUGGUGAAUUUCCAGCUGUCCUGGUAGGGGAAAAAAACCCUCAGGCUGAAUGAAAUCCCCACGGACAAAAUAAUACAAAAAGUCUGGGCUGCAAUUUGAUACCAGCCGAACUCCAGAGUCAGCUCCCCUAAAGUUAACAGUAGUAACAAACUACUGCAACUGGAAAAAAAUCCCACCUUUAUGGUGCUCAUUAUUACCAGGAAGGCUUGGAAUAGCUGUAAAAAGAAUUAGAAUAAAUAUGCAGCCAUUAGUAUUAUAAGCAGCCGAUUUUGCAGACUGUGUUGUAUUUUAGACAGCCUUCAUGCUAUAUUUUUUCUUUUCAAAAAAAAAAUAUCUGUAUAUUAUGCUGAUCUUUUCCAUUGCUCCUUUGAUAAUCAAUAAAGGAGCUAUUGGGGAGAACUGGUGGUGUAUUGUUGGUGUGAUGGUGCCUGGACUGGCUGCCUUAAAGCUUACAAAGCAAGGACUAGCACUGUCAUUUCCCUCUGCCUCCCAGCAAAACUUUUCUUUUGACCAAAAAACUCUUUUUUAAUGUAUAUAUACACUUAUAAAUUAUUCAGCCUCUCUUCCUUUAUUUUUUUUUUGCAAAUAUUAUUUUUAGGAUUAACUUAGUGGGGUUUAAUCCAUUAUAGUAGGACAAGUAGGUGGAAUUUUUAAUUUCGUUCUGCUUUAAAGUGGAGUUACAACACACAGUUAAAUGUGGUCAUUAAAUUAAAGGAAUGGAACUAGAGUCAAACUGGCAUUAAUAUUUCUCAAUCUCUGAUUGCUGUCUUAGGCAUAGCAAAUCUGAAAAGUUUUAUGACUUAGAUUUUGCUUUAGCGGUAGAAAAAUGUUUCCAAAUCUUGUUAAGAAACUCGCUCAGUUUUGCUUUCAAGGGGAAUAUAAUUGUCUGCAUUUUUUUUUUCUCUCUAAUGCUUAUUUGCAAAGCUACUUUUUUUUUUUUUUUUUUAAUUCUGAUCUAGAAAUUAAGGAAGGAAAUACUGUUAUCCAGGGAAUAAUAGGCUCUCCAUGAAAACAGUGUUGCAGAUAGCCUGUGUUAACUUUUGCUAAAUAAGCAAGGACGAUGGAAACACAUGGAACGAGUGUUUCUCUUAUCUCUAGUCUAGUAUUUGCAUUAAUCUUUAUUUUAAAUGACCUUUCUGGAUUUAGGAAGUGAUUCCCCUCCCAUACACCCGUGACUCUUCAAAGUUACAUUUUUAGACUGUAAGGCUGAGAUUGAGGAGGCCCCCUUGGCGUGGGGCUUGGAAAGGAGGCGGGGGGGGAAACGCAGAGUGCAAAGCAGCAGAUAUGGAAAGAAAGGCUGUAUUGUUAACAAUGAAUAAGGAAGUAUAUCGACCUCAGUUCAGUAAUCAAAACAUUUUCAAAGUGAAUUAAAUGAUUCUGUGGUUCUUAAAACGCUGUUGGUUUAGUUGUAACAAUUUUUAAUUGAUCAUAGUGACAGGGAAGAGAUUUUCAAUAGUUAUAAAACAAGAUGCUUUAAACAUGCAUAUCAACAAACACAAAUAGGCUGCAUAUAAAUAUUUCAAGAAGGAAAAAAAAAACAAAAACAAAAUACUAACAAAUAUUACUUUUUGUAAUGAAUAAAAAAAAAUUAGCAGGACCCAAUGAAUAUUAAUCAUGGUGAAAGUUCUCUAAAGCCAGGAUGACACCAAUGCUUAAGCCUGUUGUAUGAACUGAUACAUAUUACCAUAAAAAGCACAUUAAAGCCAGUAGGAACAUUUAAUUAAAUAGUUGAGUGUUUCAAUAUCAUAGACUUUCUUUUGUCUUAAGGGAGUGUAUUUUUUUAAACUGCACUCAAAAAAAAAAUUAAAUAGGGAAGAGGAAGAAAAUAUUUCAAACCUAUUCUAACUAUUCCUUUAAUGUUAAAAAUAAAAGGAAAAGAGAGAGAAGGGUGAGGGUAAAUCAGUUAACUUUACAGAAAUAAAUAUAGAUCAAAUAAGCAUCCAAAUGUGAAAAAAAAGUUACUUUUUUAAAAAAACCAUGUCAUUUGCCAUCUUUCUGCCUUGUCAUUAAGCUGCAUGAUGGCUCCUGUAUUACCAUUGCCAGUGCUAUUUAGUGCAUCUGUAUUUUCAGAGCAUAAAGCCACUGCCAUGCUCCCCACGCUCCUUACCCCCCUUCCUGUACUAUCACUGUGCAUCCAGACCACCCAAGUAUCAUUUCUAGAGGGAAAAUAUUUUAAUCAAAAUAGCAAAAUAUCUGCAUCUAUAUAAAAUGCUCAUUAUAAUCUUUCAAUCAAAAUCUGUUAAGCAGAAUGGAAAAUGAAAAGCCCUAAACUUUAAUGUGUUGGGUUUUUUAUAUAAUAUAUUUUAAUCAAGAACAUAAUUUUACUUUUACUUGUAAAAGGCUUUGCUUCCUGAACUGUACUUUAUUUAGAAGAAAAAAAAAAAAUCUUAAUUGAAAUACUAUUAAGGGUUAGGUUUAAACCUACAAAAAGACAGGAAAUGCCACAGUUAAGAAUGAAACUUUCCUGAAUUAUUCUACUGUAGUUCUGAACUGCAUUUUACACAGCACUGCAAAGCAGUACCUAAAAAUAACAGCCUUCCUUUAAAUAAAGAGUCCUGAUCACUACUGGAGGGAAUUCAUAUCUCUGUUCAGUUUCCAAGGUACCAAUAUUUAAAGUCAGUUCUUUAAAAUAAGUUUCUGUAAAUACAAUAUUGGCAAUCAUAUUUUUUUGUUGUUGUUGUUUUGAAUAUUCUUAAAUAUUCUCAAGCCCUUUACUGACUCAGUGUGUCAACCAGACACAGCACAUAAAAAUCUUAAGUCCUUUAAGUGAGUUAACUACAAUCCCAAGGAAUUUCAGUUUUUAAAUAAAAAUCAAGUGGAGAUAUUCAUCUAGUCAUGUCUAGUAGCACCCAGUGAAUUAAGUGAAGGGAAAACAAACUUGCCUCUGUUGAGAUGUAAAGCUUUUUGCUGAUUCUUUGAUGAAUUCUAAAUGUGUACAGUUAUUAGAAAGACGGCACAAAGUUUCCACUUACGAUUUUCUUCCCAGCACAGCCUCCCUGACAGUUGUUAACAGAAAACCUAUUCUAGAAAAUGCAGACUUCUGCUAUUCCAAUAUUCUGUACUACAGGCUGCCGACGAUUCUGACUCUACAAUUCUUUGUUAUUUCAAGAAGGAUCCAUAAAACACAAAGUGAGACCUAAAUUUCUUCCAGGCUAAAAAUUUUUCAUUUCUUUAGCAGUUAUGCAGCAGUUAAAUCUAAUUAAAUCAGUGAAACAAUCAGAGUUUAUUAUCUCUAUUUUAAAAAUACUUCUAAUUUUCCACUUCUCUUUUUCUUCAAAAUGGUCAAGCGAGUAGGAAGCAUUGUCAACUUAAAUCAUUCUCUUAAAAUUUUACUUAGAGCUACAAAAAUUUAAGUAAGCAUUUUAUAAAGACAAACUAUUUAAUGUAUUGGAAUUCAUUUUCCAAGUCUGAAUUAGUUAGCCAUGUUUUGUGGUUGAUUCAUUUAUUUAAGACAUUGUAUUCCACCUUGUUAGGUUCAAGGAAAAUUUUACUAAUAUAAUUGAUAAAGUUAACUCGUAUAGUCAAUUUGUAUAUUAACUAAAAUGCAUAUUAUUCUUUAUGGCAAAAUUAUUAGAGACAGAACACCUGAAUUAUCACAUACUGAUUUAUUAUUAAUUUAAUAUAAAACCUCAGCACUAUCCCCACCUUUAAUCCCUGGUAAUUUAUAAUCAGUUUUCAGGCUGAACUUAAAAUUGUUUGCCUGCUAUUCUGAAUGGGAUAUGUUUGAGAAGGGUUUGAAAGCACAAGUUUGUUGGUUACCUAUGGUGGCACUAGCGAGCAACAGAGAUUCAAGAACACCAUUACAAACCAGAAAAAUUUCAUCUGUAGAGAAAAUUAAUACAAUUAUUCUUUUCCCCCUUUUAAAGUUCUGAUGGGUUUUAUACCUUACGAAACAAUAUCCCCAGUGAUGUUGCAAAUGUCACUGCAAAACUGGAUUAUAGUCACUGUGUAUAUUCUGUAUAGAGAAAAUUCAGCAAAGCAGAUUAUCUUGUGAUGUGAAAUGAUGUUUUUGAUCUCUAGUACAGUCCAUAUUUAACUGAAAAAAACUUACUGAAGUUUUAUGAGGUUAAUUUAUUUUGUCAGAAAGUAGAGAUUUUGAGACAAAGCAAAAUUUAAAUAACACACAAACCAAAAUAUUAAAAGGAAUAUAAUACAUCUACAGCUAUCACAUAUUAGCAAAAUUGAUCUAAAGUGCAACCAGUUUUCUUUCCAGCACAUUCCCUAUAAUGGGGUUAAUGUGCAAGUGGCGGCCUCCAUUUAUACAGAAGGAUUUUUAUUUUUAACAUCCCAGAUUAUUGUACUUAUCUACUCCUAGAAAAUAUGCACUGUAUAAACAUAUCCUUUAUCUUGAACUUCAGUAUUUCUGUGCUUCCAUGAAGAGUAAAAACAUCUGGUUAAAUUACUAUGUGCAAGUACAAUAUGCAGGCAAAACCCUGUACCAAUUGCAUCUAAAAUAAACCACGGCUUCGGUUCUUUUUGCUUUCCCAAAUGUCCAGCGUGAGCAGUCUGUUGAAAUCGCAUCCCUGAUAUGUGUCAGCACGAUGAUAACUCAUGUACCAAGCUUCUUUUCUGAAUAAAAUCAAGUUCUGUUCUUGUUCUGCAGCUGCCAAUGUUUUAAAGUUUAAUUCUGCUAUGUGUGUUCCCCCCAACAAACGCCCCCCAAAGUGGACUGGCACAAAGUGUUGCACAGCAGCGGCGAUGGCUCCAAGGGACUGGCUGGACGGAGUUGUCAUGUGUCUGCCUGUCUACACUUGCUGUGCAGAACAUCCUCUCACCUGUACAGCAGGCACAGACAGGCAGUCGCAUGACAACCCAGCCUGAGGGACAGCCACCAGUGGGACCCCGCUCUGACAGCCCAGAGCAUCCGCAGCACCAGCUCCAGCCAAGAGUCGCUCUGGACCUCAGACGGCCGGUCAGUCACCAAGCCCAGAGUCAAAGCAGCGCUGCCUGUGAAGUACAAUAAAACCCACUGCUGAAAUUCUUA